CAACUUGUUGGUUCGAUCCACGCUGUUCAGCUGGAUAUGUCUGCAGAAAUGGAAUUUGCUCUAAUAUACCAGAACUAACCACAACACCAAGACCAACCAUAAGUCCUACCCCAGAUAUCUAUUGUCGUCAUGAUAAAGACUGUCCUCUUGGGUAUUAUUGUUCCAGAUGGCUAAGGCGA